UCUGCACACGACGAAGCUGACGCGGA
rnacentral:piRNA from 1 species